AUUUAACAUCAGUGACUUCACUUCAAACUACAUCGCUGGCCAUGAGGUGUUUUGGGAGAACUGAAGGUCACAAAGAGUUUGAAAUCAUGUUCUAAUGAGCUCUACAGCAGUGCUGGAGAAAGGAUAUCCUUAUUGGAUGGAGCAUGAAGUACUAAUAAAGUGACCACAUGAUGCAGCCACUUUGUAGAUUUAUCUCGGUUCCUUCUUCUUCUGCCAGAUUUUGUUCCUUAUUCUCAAACCAGCUUUGGCUGAGCAACAUGCAGCCUGAGCCUCCUGUGUUUCCUGUGGCAGAGGGAAGUGUUGGUCUGCAGUCAGUGGAAAAUCUGGGUGAUGAUGCUUCAUGGUAAGCCUUGAAUGUAUCACAGCAAUGAAUCGGAGUUUUGACUCCAGCAUUGGUGCAGGACCUGGAGGUUGUCCAGACCUUCCAAGUGUUAGUCUAUGCGGG